UGGUCAUGUUCCAUAUUUAUCAAUCCACACAAUGCCAAUGAGAGAAUAUCAUUAACUCUUUAAUUGAACUAUGAAUUCCACUGUUGCUAGUAAAGCCAUGCCAUACACAAUUCAUAUACCCAACAUACUGGCUACGGGCUUGAUCAUCUUUAGAGUAUAAGCCUCCACUUAUAUCAAAACACAUGAGUUGCAUACGCAUGGUCCGUGACUAACUCAGGAUUUAGGUAAAUCACACAAUGAACGUCACAAGUGAAUUAAUUCAUAAACGGAUUCAGAAUUAAUUAAUCUUGGGUCUAGUCUAAGAUUUGCUAUUUGGCUUUGUUGUUAUUGGUUUUGAGGUGAAUACUCUAAUGGUGCCCCCUUCCUAUGUGCAUAACUCUAAACUUCCUACGAUCUUUAAUCUCUGUUCAUCUGGCUUGGUCCCUCAUCGGAGUCCUCAAUCAUUAUUGCAAGUCUUACGAACACUAGCACCCUGCUGUAAAUUCAUAUGAACUUAAUGAGUUCCCUUAUUACAACAUAGUUAAACCUUGUCACAUGAAGGAAAAAGUAUAAAAUAAACUAACAUAAAUAAUAUACUCCCAGCUUGCUCAUGGAAAGUUUACUUCGUUAGAGUGACGUACUCAACCCAACCCUUUUAGCCAAUCGGCUCCCUUUGUAACACCCCAAACCCAACAGAGAAGAUCCAAUUCGAAUUUAUCGUACCAGAUUAGCCACUAAAGUGACUCUCCGUUAACUCUCAACCUAACCUCUAACACACCACUUAUACAUAGCAUGCAAACAUAGUGUUAAUCUUUAGCAAAGCAGUGGAAAACACACUUACACAAAACAAAAGGGUUUGCAUGCACAAACCAUCAGAGUAUAUAAUAAUACGAAGCAGUACUUCUAAACAGUUAAAAAUAUCAAUAGGUUCACACUACACUUAAACACCAUACUAAACAUUUGAACAUAGCUAGCAUACUGUUAACAACAUAAGAGGUCGCAGAUUAGCAAACAAACACAAGUUCGCAUAUUACUAUAGACUCGCACAAAAACAUAAGUUUACAAUAUCCGACAAUUCGCAUGCAAAGAAAUCAAACUUUAGGAACACUAUAGCUCACUAAACACCUAAAUUACACAUACAUCCUAGUUUCACCAAGUGACAAGCUUCACAAACCAAAUAAACAUGCAUGUAGAAGAUUAUCCCAUUUAAGCAUAGUUUGCAUAAAAACAUGAGUUCGCAAAGCUAAAGGUAUGCUUGUAAUUAUGCUAAACAUACCUAGGGUUUUGUAUGUAAUAAAACUAACAUAAUAGGGGUACGCAAGUAAACAUAGUUUGUAAUAACCAAUGGCUCGCAUGUAAAUAAUAAAAUACUUACAGGAGUAUGUAAGUAAUUUAUACAAGGAUUGCAAUCAACAAACUAGACAUGCAUGAAUAACAUUGAUUUAUUAAUUAAGAAACAAAAGGCAAAAUCCAUAACAUGGUUUGUAGAACUAGAGUAAACUUAAUGACAUGGUAUAGUGUACUUUUAUACUUAAGAAAAUUAUUCGAUAAUCAAUUUAAUAUUGUAACUGUUUUUUAAAACAACAUAGCAUAAACCCGUCGCCCAAAUCUAUGGUUCGCCCAUAUCAGUCAGGUGCCUUGCCAAAUUAUCGACCUCGCCUAUGUCAUCCGCGAUCUACUUACCUGAGAAGUAAUAGAGGAAUGGGUGAGUUUGGGGAGAACUCAGUGAAUAAUCAGAAACCAUUAGGUUAUGCUUCAAAAUAAUAUUUGCAAAUAGUAGAAAACUUAGUUUGAAAAUAUUUUGCGUGUUGUGUUCACAGGUGAGGAUGCGAGACCCAGUUCAUAUCUAAAAAACAUAUUUUCCUGAAAAUAGUUUAAAAACAAUGCAUACAAAUUUCUUAAAAACUUUCUUUAAAAAAAUGGGGCUUGCAUUAAACUUGCGAGGCCAUAUUUCUUUCAAAAAUAUUUAACAACCUGAGAUUGGGUUCGACUUUGGUCGUGAAACCAACGCGUACAUGAUUUUCAGAAAACUUUCCUUUGAAUAGGGUCUGGCUUAAGUCGCAAGACCAGUUCACACUUACGAACAGAGUCGACCUUAGGUCGCACGAUAGGUUCCUCAAUCAAAGUUUUUGUCUCAUUGAGUAUAUAAUACCCAAUCGAACUUACAGAGGGGCACACACUUUGAGACAUAUCACAUUAGCUCAUAUACAGAGCUAGGCUCACUGAGUAGCAAACUUUGUCUCGUUGAAUAUAUAAUUACCCAAUCGAACUUACAAAGGAGCACACACUUUGAGACAUAACAUGGGUGAGUACUCACACUAUUAGUAUACCAAUCAUAAGGCUCACUAAGGAGCUCACAGAAUAGAAGCUCGCACUAAGGCAAAGCUAAACAGAGACCUCACACAAAGCAGAGCUUAAAACAUUUGCUUAUAAAAAUCUCGCAUGUUAAGUACCUUUUAAAAACGCAGUUUAGAACCGUUCUUUCAAAAAAUUCUUAUAAUCAAAGGCUCGCAUAGGAGCUUGCAUAAAAUUUUACUUUAAAAAACAUCUUUUCAAAAUGAAAACUAUAGCCAUUAGCAAACAUAAUUAGAGUACCUUUUAAAACCCAUAAGCUAACGGUUACCAUUCACUCACCGGAAAUGGAGAACUUAAAUGAUUUUGGCUUUGCCUUUAUCUUUGCUAGAAGACGGUCCGGCUGGUUCACAACAAAUAAAUAUAUUACUAGAAAAACAUUCAGAAUUCACACAUGUAUACAAACUUAGCUCUAAGGACGAUCAAUCCUAACAAGACAAGGACUUACCCGGAUUGCUACGAACAAAAUUUUAGAAUAGAGACUUGACAACAGAAUAUUCAGUAAAGAUUGCCAUCGAAUUAAUGGGCUUAUUUAUAGACCUAAGAGUUCUAAAUAUCGUUGUACACUUUACCUAAUUUAGGAAAGACAUUACUUGCACGUAAAGUAUUCUUAGAUACGCUAAAUCACUUUUUCCUAAUUUGAGUCUGACUAUAUCGUUGACCAGUGAACCCAGUGCAUACUUUGAAUGGUGAACCCCAGCUUGCCAAAAGGACUGGUGAACCCUUAGCUCGCUAACACAUUAAUGAACCUAUCGCAUAGUAAAACUAAUGAACCCCUUACCAUUUUAUUUGGCGUACGCUAUAGCUCAACGAACAUCCUUGCUGAAACUUCAUUGGCGAACACCUAGCUCGCCUGAAUCUUGGAAUACUCGGUUCACCAGAACACUAGCGAACCUUACUUCGCAUGGCCAAAACUUUCGGCCUUGAUCUCGAGUUGUGAAAAUUCUCUCCCACUUAAGACAUUUCGUCUUUGAAACGUUCACCUUCGAACAAUUAUAGAUACUAUUACCUCAUUACUUUCUCAGUUUCCCAUGUUUGAAAGAUGCCUGUAAGAGUUCUUGGAGAGAGAAGAGUUGAAAGAUGAAUGUGGUAUGUGGCUAAGGCACUAAGUUGGAGGAUUUAGGGAUUUUAAAGUGUGAGGGGGUUUAAAAACCUUUAAAAACAUGCGGGUCACGAAAAUAGGACCCGUUUUUGACAUGACCCGACUUGGGUAUCGCAAUACCAAAAAAUUUUAAAAACCCUCUUCACUGAACUGCCAGUGAUGUUACGAU
rnacentral:lncRNA from 1 species